UACGUAGGGUGCAAGCGUUGUCCGGAAUUAUUGGGCGUAAAGAGCUCGUAGGCGGUCUGUCGCGUCGGAUGUGAAAACCCAGGGCUUAACCCUGGGCUGGCAGUGGAUACGGACAGACUAGAGGUAGGUAGGGGAGAAUGGAAUUCCCGGUGUAGCGGUGAAAUGCGCAGAUAUCGGGAGGAACACCGGUGGCGAAGGCGGUUCUCUGGGCAGUAACUGACGCUGAGGAGCGAAAGCGUGGGGAGCAAACAGG
rnacentral:rRNA from 1 species